AUAUGUGAGUAUAAAUGCAGUUGACUUUGUUCUAGGCUUGUGUUUAGCCUUAUUCAGUAUUAAAAGUAAGUUUUGCUUCAUGUAUCACGAUAGAGUUGAAUAUGCUUGAUGUUUCCUCUCAAUUCUGUUUGAUUGCCACUGGAAGCUCUUUUAAGGUCUAUUAAACUUGAGACAAAAAAAUACGUGUGUGUGUGGGUGUGUGUGUGUGUGUGUGUGUGUGUGUGUUGUAUAUAGUAAAAAUAAAAACAUCAGUGGCACAGAACAUGGCAACACUGAAAAUAGGGUAAACUUAUAACAACUUUAAAAGAAAAGGACUUCUCACAAGACACCAAUCUGCACAAAAUGAGGCUGUGUGUUGGUUUCUAGAAAAGUUACAAGAAAAUGGGAGAAAUGAUGUGUUGUCACUAUAGCCUUCAUGUAGAGGUACUUUCAAUGACCUUUGAUACUGGAUGAAAUAUAAAUGGUCAAGUUUACUUUUUAUACCCCUUAAACAAGGCUGCAUCUUGGCAAACAGAAGACAGAAGUAGGAAGAAUCAGUAGGUAAAAAAAUUAUUUUGGGUGAAGUUAGGAGUCUGGGGACCAGAUGCAAUGGUUCAGUAUCUUAAAAAGUCACUUAUCAUGUGACAAUCCUGCUAUAGUCUCCCUAAUAAUUCAGCAAAUUAUCUCUUCUUAAGCAUUUGUUUUUAAUGUAAUGAGUCUCUGAAUUACUAAGGAGAAUGAGAUCAUGUUUUGGUUAACCUUGAUGUUAAGCACGAUAAAGCUAUUUGUGCCUUAUUUUAUAUCUGGAAAAUAUUACUACUGUUUUAAAAAAACUUUUUUAUAGGUCAAUAUUAGUAUCAUUUUUCCUAUGGUUAACCUAAAGCCCAUUCUGUUUCAUUAAAGCCCAGUCUAAAUAACCCUGCUAAUCAUGAUAUAUACUUUUUUUCAAAUUCAUAUAGUUAGUGUUAACCAGUGAUGUAUUUGAUUGGACACUGCCUUGCUAAUUCUUAUAUGUAUAUUAACUACUUAACUUUGUCAUAUCAAAGUUUAGUUUAUAAGUUUCUUGAAUGCAUCUUACCUAUAUUCUUCUUCUUUGAUAAUUGUUUCAUCUUUUUUUUCUUUUUUUUUUUUUUUUUGUCCACUGCUAAGUUGAGAGUAGAUGCUUGAUAAAUACUUGAUAUUACGGUCUUGAUAGCAGGUGAAAAUAUUUAAAUCUGGAUAUAUCCCUGUCUUCUCUUCUCCCCAUCAUCAUCAGUUCCUUUAAAAAUCCAGAAAACUAAGGCAGGAAAUAAUUGCUUGUGAAGGACCACACAAGAAGUUAGGCCUGAAACUAAAAAAUUGCACCUCACACUUUCAAACUUAGAAUCCUAAACUCCAAACAAAAGGCCACACAACCUCCAUCAGUAUACUUAGAUUAAGCAAAACAUCCCGAAAGGCAAAGGUGCUCUUGUCCUGAAGGUAAGUUUGUGACAGUGUUAUUCAUUGUAGCAAGUAGAGACUUCUGCUCUUGUUAAAAUGUCCGUGGCCCCAGCAUGCUGAAGACAGGGGCGAUGUAAACAUUGUUGAACAUAGAUUUUGGAAUCUGGGAAAGAAAUCCUGUCUGGUCUCCCCUUGGAUGAAAGGCUCUCACUCCUCUGGAGUGGUCAGUUGUUGUGUGGUGUGUGGACAGCUGAGAGUCAUUUCCUCCUCUUUAUUCCAAAUGAAGCUGGACACUCCCUUCACAUUUUUGAAAAGUUAUCUGUGUUAAAAGGGAGCUAACGUGUUUACCCAGUGGGCUCGCAGCCAGGACCAUGCCACCUCCUUCUCUUGGUCUGUCCCCUCUCCGUUUCCCAAUCUCCUCUGUACCAAGAUGGGCAGAUAGGAAAAGUUGCCAAUCAGGAUGCCAGAGCUUCAAAGGGAUCCAUCGUGAGUGCACACAAAAGCUCGUUUGUUCAGUACUUGGAAGGAGAUGCCAGUGGCUUCCAGGCAGACAGAGAAUCGGGGGUUUGUCUUCACUUGGCUUCUUGAUUUCCCCAUCUGGCUGAUGGAGAAGUCAUUCUUUUCAUCUGGUGGCUUCACUAAAGUAAGAAUGAAUACAAGUGCCUCUCGGACUUCACUUAACUCCAUUUUGAAAGGGACAAACAAAGUCAUCUCUGCUUCUGGAACCAACUGAAUGACAAGAUUUCUUAAAAAAAUAAAUAGUGUUUGCGAUUAAUAACCCUCAUAUACUAGACUACAGACUUUAGUGAUAAACAUGUCAGGUGACUGGCAAUAUGGGACGAUCUGACUUUAUAUGUCAGAAAGGUUUGGGCGGUACUCCUCACAAACAUCCUCCCUCAGAAAGCCCAUAGAAAGAGUACAAUUCAAGUUAGAAUACUUGACAUUGUAUGUUCAGUGUUCAUUACUUUGCCAAAAGCUUACUUUUAUAAUUCCUGCGAUCUUGGGAGGAUCCUGUUAGGCUGUUACUGGUUGUUUGACCCUGGUGUGAAUAUAUUUUCAGAGUAUAGGUUCCGGGGACAAUUAAUGGUGGGAUCAGAAAGAGUAAGGGCAUGUUUGAAGGAGAGAAAAUGAGCCUGAAGUUAGGAAAGAAAGGUAGUGGAUUUGGACACUUCUAAGCAGGGUCAGGAGUAAAGUGAAGCCUGUGAGGCUCCCAGGGCAUAACCAAUAUGUACAUAUUUUUCCCCCUCCUAAGUGUACUUUUAAUUAUGCAACUAUAAUUUUUUAAAUUUUAUUUAUAUAUAUAUUUAAUUAUAUUUUAAAACAUUUUUAUUUAUUUAUUUUGAGAGAAAUCAGAGGUGGGGCACAGAGAGAAAAGAGAGAGAAUCCCAAGGAGGCUCUGCACUGUCUGCAUGGAGCCCCAUGUUGGCUCCAAUUUUAAUAAAAAAUAUUAAUGAAAGUUAUGUUACAUAUUUUCCAAAAACAAAAGUGACUUAUCUGGAUACCAACUUUAUGGGAAAGUGCAAGGUACAAGUCCUGGGACAUUAGGAAGUUAACUCCGAAAAAAAAAAUAGGUUGGGAGUCAAAAGUUGGUACAUAAAAUACAAAUAGUUUAAAUUCUAAUAAAAAUACAACUUCAAAUUUUCUUAAUUUAUUUUUGGCAGAAGGACAAAUUGUCAAUAUAUAAUAAAUCAAUUGCUUAUAUUCUCAAACAUUAAAAAUUCUGGGUGGAAAAGUUAGAAAAAAAUCUAUUAUAAAAAGAAACACAAUUAAGUGAGCCUUACACUGUUUAUCACUGAAAAUCAAGAUGCCUAUUUUAGUUACCAUUUGGCUCUAAUCGGGACGUCUGGACCAUUCGCUGAUAAUAGAAUAACUCUCUUUUCCAUUUCACCUACAGCUGCCCAAGAGAUCUUUUUUGAGAACUGAAAAAUGGCUAGCUAUCAUUUGUGAUUCACAUUCUAGCAUUGACCACCUCUGAACGGACGUAUGAACACUUAACAUCGUAUCCAUCCUCCUAACACAUCUGCAGUGUCCAUUGCCUGUUAACAAUUGGCACAGUGUGUGCAGUAGAUCCCUAGAACUUACCCAUGUUGCACUACUGAACCUUUAUAUCCGUCGAAUAGCACUGCUUCACCCAGAUCCUGGCAACCACCCUUCUCUCUGCUUCUGUGAGUCUGAAAGAUGCCGCAUACCAAUGGAAGCAUGUAGUAUUUGUCUUUCAUUGAUGAUUCCAUUUCACAUAAUACAAUGUCUCAGGAGAGAAUAUCUGAGGUGGCGUCACUCUUAGGCUCAUGCGAGUGCAGACCGGGCACCUGGGAGUGAGCGCCUCUUAAUUUUUGCACCUGGGGAGCCAUACCUGCACCAUCCUCAUCCCAUCCCUGCUUGUAAGACAAAUAGCCACUGACUAUAACCUUGAUCAAGACCAUUCCUGGUUCCUUAGGAGCAGCUGUGGGUGUAGCAACAUACGCUGGAGGACGAGUGGGAAGAAAUGCACUCUGUUUUUGCUGUGUGAUUUGAGGUAAGCCCAAUGAUUUCCCUUAGCAUCAUUUUCACCCAGGAAACCGAAUUAAUAUUUUCUGUCUUUACCUGUCAAGAAUUGGGAAGAGUCUGAGAUUUUACUCUAAUUGUAAGCAAACAAGUUAGCCUAUCACAUUUUCAUGGAUGCUGACAGAAGAUCCAUGACUCUCAGGUCAGAUACAGGAAGCUUUCUUACUCGUGGUCACAGCAGUAGCCAGAUCAUCGGCAUUUGUAUUGGGUCCUUGAACUGCAAUUUCUAUGGGGCUACAAGAGGCAGAUCAGAUGACACAGGCACCUGCAGUGGGUUGCAUUACAGGAGGCGAACCCCAAAGUUAAGGAACCAAAGUAUUUUGUAAUGGACAAUAAGAAUGCCUGACCUUUGCUCAGAAGAGAGAGAUUAGCUUACUCUUUGCUCCAGCAGGCUCUGUGGAAUAUUUGCCUCCCUAUCUUCUUUAAGACUCUGAUAGAUUGGUUUUUAUUUUGUUGUUUAUAGACAGCCAAACUGAAUUCUAUCUAAUAGAGAGUUUGACAUCUUGAGGUAGAGUGAGAUAGCAGAAAUUGAGGACUUGACUGUCUUGGUGGUAAGGAGGUAUUGAGGUAGUGAGGGGUCAGAUAUUGCAGGCUGGACAAUUAAUAACUCUUCUUAUGGGAUAGAAAAUUCUUGUAUUGUCACUCGUCCUUUGGAAGACAAACCACAUAUGAAUUGGACCUAAAGCACUAGGGGAAAUGGCAGGAAGAAUUCAGAAUGUUGGGGUGUGUUGGGUGGUAUUUGGCAUUUUAGUAAAUUCUGGAAGGAGUGAGAAAUGAGCUCCAAGGUGGUCAGACUUCAAGCAGAGAGAAGGAAACACCUCUUCUCUUAGAGAAUUUCCAUAAGCAGCCUGUAGCAUACAUUGCCCAUGAGAUAUUGAAGGUGAGAGAAAAUCCCCUUCUAUAGCUCAAAUUAAAGCACUUUUAAGUGAUGGUUACAAAGUGGUACUAUUAGCAGAAAAUAAUAUUGUACCACCAAAGCUCGUAGCAAGAGCUCUCAACAGAUAAUGAGAACUAGAUUGACUUACAGUACUAGCUUCAGGUUCUCAAUUUCUCAUCCAGACUUAUUUUUUAAGUGGUGUCCAAGUUUCACUCCUUUGAGAGAGAGGGCAAUAAAUAACGAAGGUGGUAAAUAAAAGGUUAGAGUUACCAGGCUGAAAAACUAAGUAUUGACAAAAUCUUGGUUUUAUUUGUAUGUAGAACUAACCAUAAACUAGUAUGUAAGAAGCCUACUAAGAUGUAAGGAAAUGAUAUUGGCAAAGGUAACCUCAAGUAGGUCUUCAACACCUGGUGGCAAACCCUUAAGUGAACUAUGGGCUCUGCUGGAAGUGGGCUUUGAAAGCUGUGCAGUCUCCGAGAAGAUCAUAUGCUCCAGGACCUAUUUCAGCACGUCCAGCGAUGGUAGUGGACAUGAGUAGCUCUCUCAGGAGAAAAUGACAAGAUGAGAGUGUUUUCCCAGAAAGAAGAACCAGGGACUUCCAGAGGAACCAAGUAAGGAACUUACUCCACUGCCAGAGCUAUGUGCCUUUUCAAUUCUGUCCAUUGGUUUUAUAAUUGUUUUUAUAAUUGUUUGGACCUGUGAAGGUGGUGUGUUGGCCCAUUCUUCCGACUUCCCAAUGGAAGGUUUUAUUGCGGUUAUGCUGUCCCUUUUCUGCCAUAGUGUUUCAAGUGUGUUGGAGGCAGGAUUUUUCUCUGUUUAUAGGUCACCAGGCUAAGGGGAAUACCACCUUACUUGACAGAGGGAACUGUGCAUCACCCAGAGAUCCUAGACUCAAAGCAGUAGCUGGGGAAGACUUUGGGUUGUGUCCACUGGAGAAGGGAGUAUGUUCUUGUAGAGAAGGAGUACACAUAGAUGGAGGUAAGUCUAAAAACACAGACUGUAACAAAGACCACUGAUUAUCUCAUGAACAUCCAUUUUACUCUCCUUUUCAAUUAUAAAACCUUAACUUCAUUUUGGGGAUCUGUUUUCUCAGCUAAAGGCUAAUAUUUCUCAGUAUCCAUUAUAGCCUUAUGCAGACAUGUGGCAAAGUUCUGGCAAAUGAGAUGUUAGAGGUAGUACUUCUUUAAAGGGCAGGACACAGGGUCCUAUUUUUUUCUUCCUCCAUCCCAUCCUACUUCCUGGAAUAUGUAUAUAAUGGCUGGCACCCUAGCCACCAUUUUGCGGGGUGAGGAUAAGUCUCUUCUCUCUAAAGUUUUGGCAUGAAAGUUUGUAUAAUACAUUAAUUCUAAUGAAUUAAUAGAAAUGACAAGUCAUCCUUGGAGUACUGACCUCAAUACUUCUUUUAUGUGACAGAGUAACACCUUUUGUAUUUAAGCCACUUUGAAUUGGGGCGACAGUUCAUACUUAGCUAAACCUACUUUGAUAAUUGUAAAUUUCUACACAAAUAUGAGGAUAUUGUUACCAUUAUGAAUCAAGAAAUCUGUAAAAACAAUGGGUGCAUCUCUUUCCAGUUGAAACAAAGCAAUAUUACUUUAUUAAUUUUUAAAGAAUAAUUUUGACAGUGAGGUAAGAUAGUAUUCUUAUUCUGAUAAGAACUAUUCCACCAUAGUCUCAGUUUUACAGUUCUAAAAUCUUAAGUCCUGGGGGCACAAUACUUUGCCAUACUCAUGGGGACCUACAAUGGAAAUACUUUAUCAAGGAUAUUGCUGAAGGGACAGUAGUUGGCUGAAUGAUUUGUGCCAUGUGAUGACCCCACCUCUUACAACACAGUUAUUUGGACCAAAGGUGGGAAACUAACCAAUGCAUUGAAUACAUAAGCAGAUUAGUGACUUUUGAUUGACAGGUUCUGGAAUGAAAAGAGGAUCUGGGUCAAUCAGCAUCUCUCUGUCAGCAAUUUGAAUUAGGAAAACAAGAUUGGUAUCAGUUAGCAGUGGAAGCUAAAGUCAGCAGAAAUGGUCAGAGUCAGACUAGGAUGGUUAUAUGUAAGCUAAGAAUUUAGUAUGGUAUACCAGGAAUGAGCAGAAGGCUAGGUGAAUAAAGGACAUGGGGUAGAAGGUGAGGAUGCUGCUGAAAAUAGUAUAAGAAGAGGAGAUACAACAAAAUGAGAGGUGGAGAGAGUAAUGCAGAGUCUUGCCAAUGGCAGAGACAUUUGACCUUGUGCAACUAAGGAAUUUGCAGCUGUUGAGUUCCUGCUUCAUUAUGACAAGAUAAAUUGCCAAAUAAUCCUCAUCAUUAAGAGCAAUGGAGACAGAUUUGACUAAGGUCACAGCUCAAGAUGAAUUUGGGAAACAGUGAGUCAUUGCCAGAUUAAUGAUUCAAUUUUCUUAGGAUAAAACUACAAAUCUUAUUUUUGCCAAUUCUGCUAAACACAGAACUGAAUUAACGUAUUAUAAAUAGCUGUCAUCUUAUUGAGCCUCUUUGAUAUGCAAAAAAUAAAUUUUUCACAUGGAAAAGAUUUCUAAGCUAAUAAUAUACAUUUUGGUAUAUUUAAAUUAAAUGAAAAAGAAAAAAUUCAUCUAACCUGAUGACAAUAUGAUGUCAGCUUCUCUGAAAGUACCAAUAAAUGGAUGACACUUACAUAUAUUUUUUAAUGCCGUAGAGAGGAUAUUGGGGCAAAUAUAAAGAUGUAGGGGUGAUAAAGCUAGUAGUUUUGUAGACUAUAUAGACCUAGAGAGUUGGACAGUGUGGUUGAAAAACCCAGUGAAUUUUGUUGUUUUUUAUUCAUUUUAUUUACAGAAAUGGUAUAAAUUUAGCAUAGUCUUGACCUAGAUUUUUGACUGUUGAUGUUGAGAUAUGUUCAUAUUUUAGUUUUUGUGCAUUAAUUUAAAACAACUGAGAGAUGCCAAUAUUGCCUUGGUUCUUCUGAGAAUUCUUUUCUCUUUGUUUACAAGUCAUUUAUAUUUAAAAAAAGCAAUACAGCCCUAAUCAGCCCUAAUAAGUGGUAGUGGAGUCAUGCUGUCUGACAAAAAUAAGAAAGAGCGACAUCUCAGAAACUGACUUUGUGUGGUUUAGGCUGACUUUUAAGUCUCACCGGAAGUUAAUUAAAAUGAACUUUUUUUGGCUUUUUAAGUUUAUUUUAUCAUCUUUGAGUUUACUCAGUGGUAGAUGCCAGAAAAUUCCUCAAUUUAUGGUACUAAUUGAAAAACAACUCUUGAAUCUGGACAGAGAGAUCAGACAUUCCAAAUAUCUCUUUUUAGUUGGAUUAAAGGGUUUGCAAUCUAAAUAUCUCGAUUUGGAAGAAAUGUGAGGAAUUUCAAGGUUUCCAAUCAUAAAACUAUGAAUGAGAGUGCUUGGCCAUGCCAAGCUUAUUUCUGUAAAUUCUUUUGGAGCUCAAAGGGUGUGGUCUAGAUGAGGUUGCCCACGGGGUGAUAUCCAGGGGUUAUAUAUACAUAACCAGAGUGUAUCUUCAUUUUAAAAACAUGUAUAUUAGUUCAUAUCCUGAUUCCUUUAGGGAACUUGAGUUUACUUUGAUUGGUAAGUCUCAGGGUCUAUGAUAUUUUUCCUGGCUAGCCCUGCAAGCACUUGAACUUCUGCCCUUCAAACAGAACACUGCCGGUGGUGAUUGUCCCUGGGUUGGGGUAGAUUACCAACAGCAAUUUCACACUGUGCACCUGAGUGUUUGUUUUGAUGUGGCUGAAGACAAUAUUUACAGUUGUUGUCAGUCUGUCCUCAGGAUGAGCCUAGACUUUUCUUAAAACAGAAUAGCCUCUGUUGUGGUAAUUGACCUACUGCCUACAAGCCUAAAUAUCAGAGGCCCCUAAGCCUCCUUUGAAGGGAUUUCUUUCUCCUUUCCAUUUAACAUCUUGUAGUUUGUGUCACAUUGCAAAGUGUGUGAGCAGAUAAUAAAAGUGAUGACACAUUGGGAAUGCCUUUGAAAAUUGCUUAAUAUUAUAAAGCAUCAGUUUUUUUCCCUUAUAAGGGACAGCCAGACUUUCUAGACUGUACCACUGAUUUUUACUUUAAUGUCAAUGGCUAGCCUGGCAGAUAGAAUAGAAUGAGGGGGCAGAAACUGGAACCGUUGGGAACGUGCUAAGUUGGAGAAUGAAUGCAGCCAGGGAAGAAGGUAGGCGUGCUUGCAGCGAAGAUGAGAGUAAACACAUACUGGUCUAACUUUAACAACGAAGGGAAAGAGUUUCAAGCAGAGGGUUGUCAAGCCAAAAUUUAUUGCUUAAGAAAGUUACAAAAAUGAUUGUAAUGUGGAGACUGAUCCCAGAAUAAAAAUCAUUUUGUGAACACUUGAUUGGGAUUUCAGAAUUUAAUCGUUUUCAGCUGCAACAAUGAAUGUUCAAACCACAUAAGAAGCUUUAGCUUCACAUAUUUAACAGGUUCCCCCCCCCCAUGCUUUAGUUUUAUUUAUUUCUUUUCAUUUUAUGGUGUAUCAUAACCACAUGUCUCUCAUUCACCUUGUAUUCCACUGUUAGUGUAAGAGUGGACUAUAGCAAGCUAAAGGAAAGACUUUGAACUUCAGAUUAAUACCUGAGUUUCAGUCCUUGCUUUUGCAACUAGUUGUAUGACCCUAGACAAAUUACAUCCGCUCCCUGAGUCUCAGUUUCCUCAUCUGCACAAUGGGAUAUUUGUAAAGCACCUAUCCCAUGUUUCCUGCAUUGUACAGGAUACUAGAAAAAUAGUAGCUGUCUUUAUCACUAUGGUUACUGCUUGAAGGUGAGGCUAAGCUGAUAGAAAAAAAAUAUUUAGUGAGAUUUUCUAAUAGAUUAAAAGGAAUGAAAUCAAACCUAGCAGUCAAUAUGGAGCAAAGGCUCACUGCUUAAAAUAAAACUAGUUCGGCGCUCUAACUUGACACAGGUAUAUUAUUAUGUCAUAUAUAUUCAUUCUUAAGUUCCUGUGUGUUCUAGUGAAUUAAAUAACGAAUCUCUUUGAGGUGUGAGUGAAUUUUUCCAGAAGUUAUUUAUUUAAAAGUAAUUAAUGUAAAAGUAAAAAAAUGUAUUCUGUCCUUUAAUUACUAGCUUGGAGUUUAUCUGAGCUCCGUAUGGCCUCUUAGUUUUCUUUUGGUUUUUGCGGGAUUUGUGUCUGUGUGUGCACAUGCGCACGUAUGCGCACAUGCAUGCAUCUGGCUACCUGGUACCUAGUGGUAAUGGUGAGGAAAAUUGACUCUCUUGCAUUAAUAUAUAUGAAUAUGUUAACUAAGAAGCAUUUAUAGCUUUAAAACACUUUAAAAGUAUACCACCACUUGGAAAAGUACCAUUUUAUUUCUUUAGAAAAUUCUUAAUUUCUUGACAUUUGUGUUAACCGAUCACUUGGUUAGUGUCAUUUACUUUUUAUACAGUCAAAGUCAUUAGAUCUAUAUACUUCAUUCUUUGGGCCUGUUUCAAAAUAAGCAUGCACUUGCUGGCACAUGUUUCUGCCACAUUCUUUGCUUCCCCUAAUAGACAAGUUCAGACUUAGCAGGCAAAAGUCCAGUGGAAAGUACCGGAACCAAGGGAAGAAUAUUUGCCUAACCACCCACACCACAAAAUGCUUUCUUGGAAUCUGCUGUUUAAGAUGGACCCUACCCCAACACACGUAACCUUUGUCUUUCUGAAAAGCAAACCUGAUUCUACAAGGAAAUCGCAAAACAAAAAAUAUUGUUCUCUCAAGUUAUGCCGGAUUUAUUUUCAAAAAGAAAACGGAAUCAGGCUAGUUAAAAAAUUAUAAACUGUCCCACGUCAAGUAUCUAACCAUUCAUGGAAGUUGGCUUUUCAAUCUUAGGUUUUAAGAACAGGUAGUGGAGGAUUUAUGUGAAAAGAAAAAUGACUGAAGUACAACCAAAAGCUAUAGAAAUUAAACUUUUUUUGUUUGUGUUUGUUUUAAGGUGUGUGGGACUUUUCUUCUCAGUCUUACGUAACUAUCCUGAUGAUCCUGAACUGAAAUUUUGUUUGCUGAGGUUAUCUUGGCUUCCCCAACCAUAGACCCUAUAGCACACUUUACUUGAUUUGUCUCUGACUUUUAACCCAAUCAGCUGUUUACUCUUUGGAAGUUGCUGCCAUUAGAUUCCGUAACGCCAUUCUUGUGUCCCUCUUCCAGCCUUGCUACUUUUUCCCCAGUCUCUGUUUGUCACUCUUUUUACUUUACUUAUUUCUUAAUUACUACUUUCCCCCUGGAGUUCCAUUCUUGAGCGUAUUAUUUCCUACAUAUAUUCCCUGGGCAACUUUAGUAAGUCAUGAGUCAAAAUAUCACAUGGACACUGAUGAGUCCAUAAUUUCUACCCUCAGCUCUGUCUGUCUACCUUCCCUGUCUGAGGUUUUGCAUUUUAAACUCACAGUUUCCUACAUACAACAUUUUUUUUUUUUUUACGUUGUUCCCCUACUUCCUUUAGACCUUCUUUUCUUCCUGUAUUUUCUAUCUUACAACAUCACUAUCUAUUGUGGAGCCCACUAAAAUCUGUUUAAAGUGAGGCAGUGCUACACUCCCAGCCCUCCAGGACCUUGUCCUUGUCCUUUCUCUACCUGCAGUACUCUCAGAUGUUCCUUCCCUUAGUUAACUCUUAAGAAUAUUAAAUGUAUCAUAUUAAUUCCUCAGAGUUGAUCUCGUAGCUUUAUUUUGCACAAGCUGUUUUAAAACUGACUUUUGUUUCUUAGAAUGUGCUACAGCCUGAAGCAAAAAACACACUUGAGUAAUUAUUAAAUACAGGGCUGUUUUUCACUUGCCCACUGUCUUGCAAGAACAUAGGCAAUGUAUUUAUUUUGGUCCACCAUUAUAUCAAGCACAGUCGCUGGCACCUGGAAUGCUCCUAAUAAGUCCCUUUGGAAAUUGAAUGAGUGAAUUCUUGGCACCUCCUAGUGCCCCUCCACUUCAAUCAGGUGCCAUAUCCUUUUGCUUCUAUCAAGCCACACGUCUUUCACAUUUGCUUUUUCAUUAUUAUCUCCAGUCUGGUUCUUGGAGGAGGUCCUCAGCAUCCCUUGCCCACGAUCAGCCUUAGCUCCAUCCACCAAACCAUUAGUAUUGUUACUUUUUAGAUACAAAUAAGAUUCUCCCACUCUAGAAUCUUCAGUGGCUCCCAAAUUUCUCUAGGAACACAUUUAAGCUCCUAAUCCUGGUCUACAAGAUUCAUGACAAUCUGACUUGAAUCUCCUUUUCCACUGUCAUCUUACCUCGUUAUUCAAGGUAUGCUUCAGUCACUGUAGGAGUCUUAUUUAUGUGCCUUGAACACAUCCUUUUUUUUUUUUCAUUUUCUCUGUUGGUUUCUCUGCUGUUUUGAGCUUCUUAUUCUGUAUCUUGAACUUGAAUAUUGACAUUAAUCUCACAAUUUUAAAUUACGAUAUUCUUACUUUGGCAGGCUAUUACCCAUUUACAUACUUGCAUAAAACACAUUUUCUAACACUCUAUUAGCUGUUGGGUAUAAUUAGCCAAUAAAGGCAAAGAAUGAUGGUAAGAUCUCUUUCUCUGAUUUUAGAUUCUGCCUACUUUUUGUGAAGGGAACUCUUGUUCUGUUUCCCAUUGUAUUUUCAUAUUUGCUCCCUUAUACUUUUCUAUUGGCAUGACUUUUUCUGUCAGCUGCAUUCAGGUCAUAUUUCCUGUAUCACCACUCUGGCAACUAGCAAUUCUCUGUUCUUCUCCAACUGUGGUUAUGCAGAGAUUGGUGGUAAGUAUCCUCUUAUCACCUGCACUGAUCUUACUUGUGAAUCAAAAAUCAGAGUGACCCCAUUUUCUUCCCUACUGUACAUCGAAAAAUGGAGAGUAUUUCAUGAUUAAUUUUUAGUAUAUCUCCCCAUUCUUGAGAAAAUUGGCACAAAUCUUUGAGGGACUAGGCUGGAAGAUAACUUACGCAGCCAUCCUCUACAUCCAAAAUCGUGUCUUUUCCGUACUCCCAGCCAAGUUUUGUGGUCCAGAUUUGUAAUUCUGAAAAUCUCACUGGGAGACUGAGGCUGUAAGACCAGGUGAAAGUUCCAUCUCUUCCAUGCAUCAUUUUCCUGUGUCUUACUUGGUCUUCAGGCAUAAGAGUUUUCCCACUAGACUUGUUGGCUACCUAGCUUAUUAAACUGAGUCACGGACUGAAACCAAAGAGCAAAGUCUAAAAAUAGAUUAGAUAACUCAAAAUUGAUGCAUGAAUGAUUAGCUGUUGAAGUAUUAAAAAUGGAUUACUUGUUGGUACUAGAGUCUCAAAAUUAUUUUCCAAUAUGUCCUCCUAUAUUGUUUGAUCUAAAAAUUAAUGUUUCUCACUAUCGUAAAAUAGAUGAUUUAUGAGGAAGUGCGUGUGAGUUUAAUUACUUUGACAAUUUAUAUAUGUGGUUGCUAGCAAAGCAGAUUCUGGAUUUCUAGAAUAACUAGAGGAAGAAAAAGAGGUUACAUAUUCAAUGAGGAUAUUUCUGCAAUUAGUAGUUGGGAGUAGAUCUUCUUUGUAGAGUUUACCUGGGUGGAAUUUGAAUUUACUCUACUAUGAUAGGAAAGGGUGAAAUAUUUUGACCACCUGCCAUUUAUUGAGAUAUUAGUCUAAAAUUUAUUUAACCUCUCUUUGAUUCCUUUUUCAAAAAGAAAAGAUGAAAAUAUCUAUGUUUAGAUUUAUGGUGAU